rnacentral:rRNA from 1 species
UACGUAGGGUGCAAGCGUUGUCCGGAAUCAUUGGGCGUAAAGCGCGUGUAGGCGGCUCGUUAAGUCUGCUGUGAAAGCCCAGGGCUCAACCCUGGAAUGCCGGUGGAAACUGUCGGGCUAGAGUACGGAAGAGGUGAGUGGAAUUCCUGGUGUAGCGGUGAAAUGCGCAGAUAUCAGGAGGAACACCAAUGGCGAAGGCAGCUCACUGGGACGUUACUGACGCUGAGACGCGAAAGCGUGGGGAGCAAACAGG